AUGAGGAUCCCUGCCCAUUUCCUGGGGCUGCUGAUGUUCUGGCUUCCAAGUGCCAGAUGUAACAUCCAGGUUACCCAGUCUCCAUCCACCCUGUCUGCGUCACUGGGAGAAAGAAUCACCAUCACUUGUAGAGCAAGUCAGGAUGUUAGCAAGUAUAUGGCUUGGUAUCAACAGAAACCAGGGGAAGUUCCUAAACUCCUGAUCUAUUAUGCAUCCACUUUGCAAUCAGGAGUUCCCACGAGGUUCAGUGGAAGUGGGUCUGGGACAGAUUAUUCCUUUACCAUCAGCAGCCUGGAGCCUGAAGAUGUUGCAACUUAUUACUGUCAGCAAGGUUAUAGCUCAUACCACAGUGAUACAAAUCAUGACAAAAACCACCCGUAG